GAUUAACCAACUCCAGCCACCAGAUCAGAUAUCCUGCUCUUUAAGAAACUUAAUAAAACGGGCCACUUAAUGCUGCCUCUCAUGACCCAGAAAAACAGAAAAUGUUUAUGAAAGAGGACUGAUUGACUCCGGGAUUGGAUCUGCUCUGUAGAAAAAUGUCUCAGAGUUCACAUCAGUCGGCAGUUCAAAUCCAACCUGGAGUGAAGAGGAUAAAAAUAUUGACAGGUACUACGGCCUUAAAUCAAGGUAUCAGGAGUCUGAACUACCCUUUAUCCCAGCAUCCGGGGGCAUCGUGCAGGUAUCAGUUGUGUCCUUUCAGGGGCCUCUCCUGAGAAAGCCGGGAUACAUUCAUUCACAUCUCUUCCUGACAUAUAAAUCAUUACCGUCAACCAUUGGGAUUCUAGAAAGCAAAGCUAGGGAUAAGGAAACUAGCCAAAGCUUUCUUUCUCAAAAAGCAAAGUGAUUUAGAAAAUAGAAGACAAAAUUAAAUUCAGAAUUACAAAGUUCCUUUCUUCAUAGCCAUGAAUACAUAGUCAUUUUCAUGACAAAUUUUUCUCAGGGAGAAAAAUUCACCCUAUUAUAAAUGUAACAGAAUUCCUAUAAAUAUGAUGCAUGACCUACUAACUCACACACCAAAUUGGAUGCCAGAGACAUUGCUGAGUCACAAAUACCUGUCCCUGAACUUCU